rnacentral:rRNA from 1 species
GUCUUAAAGAAAUUAAUUUUAAGUCUAAUCUGCCCAAUGAAUUUUUUAAAUGGCUGCAGAAUUUUUUACUGUACAAAGGUAGCAUAAUAAUUUGUUUUUUAAUUAAAAACUAGAAUGAAAGAUUUAAUGAAAUAUAAACUUUUUCAAUUAAUUUAUAAUUAAAUUUUUUAUUUAAGUAAAAAAACUUAAAUAAUUUUUAAAGACGAUAAGACCCUAUAGAAUUUUAUUUAUAAUUUUUUAAAUUAAAAAAUUAUAAAUUUUAUUGGGGAAAUAAAAAAAUUUAAAAAAUUUUUUUUUAAUUUUACAAUUAUAAUUGAAUAAAUUAUGUUAAUUUUUAAAUUAAAAAAUUAAUUACCUUAGGGAUAACAGCAUAAUUUUUUUUAAAAGAUCUUAUUAAUAAAAAAGAUUAU